GGAAUAGCUCAGUGGUAGAGUAGUUGUCUAGCAUGCAUGAGGUCCUGGGUUCUAUCCUCAGCAUUCCA
rnacentral:tRNA from 1 species